CUUAUUGAUCAUGGCUCAGAAUCACGGUGGUUAACGUGCCUAACACAUGCAAGUCGAGCGAGAAAGGGUAGCAAUACUCCGAGUACAUCGGCGCACGGGUGAGUAACACGUGGGUAAUCUGCCUCGAAGUGGGGAAUAACACCGGGAAACCGGUGCUAAUACCGCAUAAUCUGGCGAAGUCUGCGGUUUUUGUCAGCAAAGGAGCAAUUCGCUUUGAGAGGAGCCCGCGGCUGAUUAGCUAGUUGGUGAGGUAAUGGCUCACCAAGGCUACGAUCAGUAGCCGGUCUGAGAGGACGGUCGGCCACACUGGAACUGAGACACGGUCCAGACUCCUACGGGAGGCAGCAGUGGGGAAUUUUUGGCAAUGGGGGCAACCCUGACCAAGCAACGCCGCGUGGGUAGAUGAAGUCUCUUGGGACGUAAAACCCUUUCGACGGGGACGAAACCGCAAGGUUGACGGUACCCGUAGAAGAAGCCCCGGCUAACUCCGUGCCAGCAGCCGCGGUAAUACGGGGGGGGCAAGCGUUGUUCGGAAUUACUGGGCGUAAAGGGCGCGUAGUGGCUUGCUAUAGUCGGAUGUGAAAACUCUGGGCUCAACCCAGAGCCUGCAUCCGAAA
rnacentral:rRNA from 1 species